AUUAUAAACCGGUACUAAUAAUUUUGACUUUUGACAUAAAUCGAUACUAGCGGAUUCGAAAUUUUGGUUCACAUCCGCUUGGCCGGCUAUCUCCCCUGAUAUUUUCCCACACUCUCAUCCACUCAUCUCUCUCGACCACUCUUUUCCGCUCUCAACCAUCCUUAUCCGAUCCCCCGCCAUGCGCCUUGUCCUCCUCGUCGGCGUGUCCCCUUACCCCUUCUUCCUCCGAUCCCGUCUCCUCAAGCUUCCGAUCCCCUGAACAGCUCGCUUCAACUCGACGGGAUUUUUGGUGCGUGCAGCUGAUAGGCUCAGGGUGGACAAGUUCUUCGAGCCGGACGAGCGAAGGCGGUACAGGGCGUCAUUCCUAUGUGACGUGAUGUAGGAGGAGGGUCAGUGGGGGGUCAGCCACGCCCACCCGACCACCGAGUCCUAGCCCGGACACGUCUCCAUCAUCGCGGGACGGUAGUGAGCUGUUUGCACGAGGACUGCUUGGCGUGGAGCUUGGGCCCGAUGACGUAGCGCCGUUCGCCGCGAGACCGAACUGGUGCCUGGUGUUCCUUGAGGCGUCAGUGUGGCAGCUCGAGGGGCUGGAGGAUGUCAACGACGUCCUUGUCAACUCAUUCCACGACAUCGAGCCCAAGGUAAAUGAACUGUUGACUGAACUGGAGUGAAGUUAUUGAAGCAGCAAUGCCAUAUGGAGUACGUUUGUGGAUGGGUCAUGAAUUGCAUUAUGAACAUAAAAGUUGUGUACAUGAGCUAACUGAUCAAUAAUAAGAACAUUUGCUUUUCUCAAUCUGUUGUUGUCUUGUCUCUUUCGAGAGAAUAAAAUCGCGAGGACAUUGUUCAGUGACUAAAAUCGCUUUUUUGUGUUUUUGUUCUUGUUCCUUUCUACGAUUUGAUCGGCGGCUCAUUGGAUCGAGACAGUGGCGGCGGUGGUGGCGACGGCGGCAGUGGCGACAGCCGAGUUGGCUUGAAUCAAGCCAGCUCGUUUAUUUUUUUGGCUCUCGGGAACUUUUUCAGUGCCGGCUGGUAACUAUGGAUUAGCACUGAUACUUAUUAUUAGUGAUGAUUCACAAACCGACUAUCAGUGCUGAGUAAUUAGUGCUGAUUGUUAGUUUAAAAAUUAUUACUGGUGAUAUUUUUAAGCCGAUACUGAUGAUCCUUUCUAUAGUAAUGCAAUCUGUGCGUUUGGAAGAACUUAUAACAUGGAGCCAGCCUACAUACCUUCCUUCAACCUCGCGAGAUAGAGAGGUGGAGUGUGGCCGCAAAGCCGCAUUCUUAAGGAAGCUGAUGGCAUGCUCAAUUACAGAGACCUUGCUGAUCAGUACUAUUAGGUGAGCUUAAAGGUUUCUUAGUUACGGUUCACUGCAAUGAUCGGAUCUCAUUCCGCAAGAAGAUGGAGACAAGUCUCUGAGGCAUGCCGACAAAGGAUACAAGUAAUAGUGCAAGGCCCUUCCCCUUUUAGCUAGGCGAUAUGUAGUCCAAAGCUUGUUCUGAUUGGCCAAUCAUGUGAAUAGUUUGCAUUUCGGGGGUGCCUAGACCUUCUAAAAAUGGGAGGUGUAAUUGGUGUCUAUUGACCCCUCAAAUUGCAUUUUGCAGGCUGAUGCCAUGGUGUACUCCUUAUGGGGUGUAAGCUUCCAGAUGAUGUCAUCAGGUACAUGUGGUUGAAGAGACACCUUCUGUACGUUUCGCCAGAUGAGGACAAGUUGAUGUAUGUGUUGUUAGCUUCGGAUUUGAUUGAAAUCAACGUCUUGAACCCA